rnacentral:rRNA from 1 species
GACGAACGCUGGCGGCGUGCCUAAUACAUGCAAGUAGAACGCACAGUUUAUACCGUAGCUUGCUACACCAUAGACUGUGAGUUGCGAACGGGUGAGUAACGCGUAGGUAACCUGCCUGGUAGCGGGGGAUAACUAUUGGAAACGAUAGCUAAUACCGCAUAAUAUUGAUUAUUGCAUGAUAAUUGAUUGAAAGAUGCUAUUGCAUCACUACCAGAUGGACCUGCGUUGUAUUAGCUAGUAGGUGAGGUAACGGCUCACCUAGGCGACGAUACAUAGCCGACCUGAGAGGGUGAUCGGCCACACUGGGACUGAGACACGGCCCAGACUCCUACGGGAGGCAGCAGUAGGGAAUCUUCGGCAAUAGACGAAAGUCUGACCGAGCAACGCCGCGUGAGUGAAGAAGGUUUUCGGAUCGUAAAGAUCUGUUGUAAGAGAAGAACGGGUGUGAGAGUGGAAAGUUCACACUGUGACGGUAUCUUACCAGAAAGGGACGGCUAACUACGUG